UGGAGAUCACGUAGUGAUCUUAAACUUGACUAAAGGAUUGGGGGUUAGUUAUGGUAAGUAUACUCUAUAUAAAUCGAGAACAAAAAGAUCUAGAGGUUUUGCUCUAGUUCUACUUGAAAAUUUAAAAUUUGGAUUUUCUUAGUCUCGAUGCAAAGUGAUACUUUGGUCAGAAAUCAUUUUGUGACUUUAAAGAAUUUGAUGAGUUAGAUC
rnacentral:lncRNA from 1 species